CUACGGGGGGCUGCAGUGGGGAAUAUUGGACAAUGGGGGAAACCCUGAUCCAGCAAUGCCGCGUGUGUGAAGAAGGCCUGCGGGUUGUAAAGCACUUUCGGUUGGGAGGACUGCUUCUAGCACUAAUAUUGUUGGAAGUUGACGUUACCUUCAGAAGAAGCACCGGCCAACUCCGUGCCAGCAGCCGCGGUAAUACGGAGGGUGCAAGCGUUAAUCGGAAUUACUGGGCGUAAAGCGCGCGUAGGCGGCUAGAUCAGUCGGGUGUGAAAGCCCCGGGCUUAACCUGGGAACUGCAUCCGAUACUGUCUAGCUUGAGUACAGGAGAGGAGAGUGGAAUUCCACAUGUAGCGGUGAAAUGCGUAGAUAUGUGGAGGAACACCAAUGGCGAAGGCAGCUCUCUGGCCUGAUACUGACGCUGAGGUGCGAAAGCGUGGGGAGCAAACAAGAUUAGAUACCCGCGUAGUC
rnacentral:rRNA from 1 species